UUGGGAGGAAUUGGAUGCCAAAUCUUUGAGGGGCCCUCCCCCUCUUAUGUGGCAUAGUGUGGAGGAGAGAGAGGUGGGGCGAUGUCCCAUUUUUAUUUGGAACCCUAUUGUGGGGGGCCAAUGCACCAAGAGUUGGCGCCCCAACUACCUGACAUGUAUUAGAUGGGCACCUCUUAUACCUGCUUAAAAAGGCUGGUCAUAUAUCAUUUAUAUCUGAUUUUGAUUAGAAUAAAUCAGAUUAAAAAGGUAAAAGAUUCUUAUGAGAUAAGGAUCUAAUUUUUUAAGAUAAUUGAGUUCCUAUUAUGUGUCAGGAUAGUG
rnacentral:lncRNA from 1 species